UACGGAGGAUCCGAGCGUUAUCCGGAUUUAUUGGGUUUAAAGGGAGCGUAGGCGGAUUGUUAAGUCAGUUGUGAAAGUUUGCGGCUCAACCGUAAAAUUGCAGUUGAAACUGGCAGUCUUGAGUACAGUAGAGGUGGGCGGAAUUCGUGGUGUAGCGGUGAAAUGCUUAGAUAUCACGAAGAACUCCGAUUGCGAAGGCAGCUCACUGGACUGCAACUGACACUGAGGCUUGAAAGUGUGGGUAUCAAACAGG
rnacentral:rRNA from 1 species